rnacentral:ncRNA from 1 species
ACCGGUCAGCGUGGUUUUCAACGGUUUGAUAAAAAGGGAAUUGUUGUUCAUUACCACGUUGCCGCUGGCGUGAACCUGCUGACCAUCAAGCGGGAUAUCCAGGUUCAGAUGCCCCCGGGUCGUGCCUUUGAUUUCCAGCUGUUCCAGCGCCGCACCGAGUGAAGAUUUCAGCGGCGUCUGCUGGAAAUAGUCGGCGAUCUGUUUGCCGUCUCCGCUGAUAUCGCCAUCAAUAAUCAGCUUCUCUUUCAGGUAGUCAGGGAUGACGGCACUGACGUUACGCGCAUUAACCUCACCCAGUCGGGCCGUCGGAGCGUUCAUCCACAAGCCAUCAUUGAGGAAGUUAAGAUCGAUAUCCAGAUUGCUGAGCGCCGGCCAUUUGGGCUGGAAAGCGUACGUUGCCUGGCGCAGCGGCA